rnacentral:lncRNA from 1 species
CAACUUUGUGUGUGUCGGUCCUUCAACCUCAUGAACAUCAUCAAGUUCAAUUUUAUAGGCAUUAGCCCCUUCUCCAAAGAAUUUUUUUUUUCAAAAAGACUGCCCGACUACUAAUAAAUACAUUUUGUUCUACAGUGAGGUAGAAGUAGUACCCCUUAGAUUCAUUUGGGUACCCUACGAAUAAGCAUCUGUCGGACUUCAAUCUAAACUUAUCUAUCUUUAAACGCUUGACAUAAGUUGGACAACCCUAGACCC